UACGGGGGGAGCAAGCGUUGUUCGGAUUUACUGGGCGUAAAGGGCGCGUAGGCGGCCACCGCAAGUCGACUGUGAAAUCUCCGGGCUUAACUCGGAAAGGUCAGCCGAUACUGCGGGGCUAGAGUGCAGAAGGGGCAACUGGAAUUCUCGGUGUAGCGGUGAAAUGCGUAGAUAUCGAGAGGAACACCUGCGGCGAAGGCGGGUUGCUGGGCUGACACUGACGCUGAGGCGCGAAAGCUAGGGGAGCGAACGGGAUUAGAAACCCCCGUAGUCC
rnacentral:rRNA from 1 species